GUCAGGUCAUACACUCGUACCUGGUGGGAGAAGAGAGUGAAGAAGAAGCUUGGGGACAAAAGGACCCUGCUGGGGCCACCGUGGGAGCACUGGAGUAACCCACGUUCCUUCCUCCUACAUGUUCCACCAGGUCAGCCGUAGUGUGCAGAAUAGCCUUCCCAGUGAGCAGAACUUGCCUCAAGAGGUCACACAGUCAGUGAGAGACUCACACCCGUGCCAGUCCCCAGACGCCCAAACUCGAUUCCGUCUGAUGAACCAAGCUAAUUUGUCGGGAUGGUG